rnacentral:rRNA from 1 species
GACGAACGCUGGCGGCGUGCUUAACACAUGCAAGUCGAACGGAAGGGCCCUGCUUUUGUGGGGUGCUCGAGUGGCGAACGGGUGAGUAACACGUGAGUAAACUGCCCUUGACUUUCGGGUAACUUCAGGAAACUGGGGCUAAUACCCGAUAGGAGCUCCUGCUGCAUGGUGGGGGAUGGAGAGUUUCGGCGGUUGGGGCUGGACUAGCGGGUUAUCAGCUUGUUGGUGUGGUAGUUGCUUACCAAGCCUGCGAAGGAUAGCCGGCCUGGGAGGGUGACCGGCCACAUUGGGACUGAGGGACGGACCAGACUCCAACGGGCGGCAGCGGUGGGGAAUAUGGCACAAUGGGCGGAAGCCUGAUGCAGCAACGCCGCGUGCGGGAUGACGGCCUUCGGGUGAUGAACCGAUUUCGCCGGUGACGAAGCGUGAGUGACGGUAAUGGGUAAAGAAGCACCGGCUAACUACGUG